rnacentral:tRNA from 1 species
GGGACUAUGGUGAAAUGGUUAUCACAUCGCUCUGUGGCAGCGAGGUCAUGGGUUCGAGUCCCAUUAGUCCCCCA